rnacentral:miRNA from 1 species
UGGAAGCUUCCCCCCUGAACCCAGAGAAAUUGGGAUCUUUUGCUGUUUUCUUUUGCCGUUGAAAACAACAAAAGAUCCCAAUUUCUCUGGGUUCAGGGGGGAAAGCUUCCA